rnacentral:rRNA from 1 species
ACACGUAGGGGGCGAGCGUUGUUCGGAAUCAUUGGGCGUAAAGGGCGCGCAGGCGGCGAGGCAAGUCCGGUGUGAAAGUGCUCGGCUCAACCGAGUGAUGCGCUGGAAACUGCCCUGCUUGAGUACAGGAGGGGACGUCGGAAUUACAGGUGUAGGGGUGAAAUCUGUAGAUAUCUGGAAGAACACCGGUGGCGAAGGCGGACGUCUGGCCAUGUACUGACGCUGAGGCGCGAAGGUGCGGGGAGCGAACAGGUUUAGAUACCCUGGUAGUCCGCACAGUAAACGAUGUGCACCAGGUGGCGGGGGGUAGCCCUCGGUACCGAAGCCAACGCAUUAAGUGCACCGCCUGGGGAGUAUGCUCGCAAGGGUGAAACUCAAAUGAAUUGACGGGG